GAUGAACGCUGGCGGCGUGCCUAAUACAUGCAAGUCGAGCGAACGGACAAGAAGCUUGCUUCUCUGAUGUUAGCGGCGGACGGGUGAGUAACACGUGGAUAACCUACCUAUAAGACUGGGAUAACUUUGGGAAACCGUAGCUAAUACCGGAUAAUAUUUUGAACCGCAUGGUUCAAAAGUGAAAGACGGUCUUGCUGUCACUUAUAGAUGGAUCCGCGCUGCAUUAGCUAGUUGGUAAGGUAACGGCUUACCAAGGCAACGAUGCAUAGCCGACCUGAGAGGGUGAUCGGCCACACUGGAACUGAGACACGGUCCAGACUCCUACGGGAGGCAGCAGUAGGGAAUCUUCCGCAAUGGGCGAAAGCCUGGCGGAGCAACGCCGCGUGAGUGAUGAAGGUCUUCGGAUCGUAAAACUCUGUUAUUAGGGAAGAACAUAUGUGUAAGUAACUGUGCACAUCUUGACGGUACCUAAUCAGAAAGCCACGGCUAACUACGUG
rnacentral:rRNA from 1 species